rfam:Carnobacterium maltaromaticum LMA28 complete genome
AGUUCAUUCGUUUUUAUCAGAGAUCCAUCAGAUUCUGAUAAAAGUUAGUGAGUGAGAAUGUGCUUCACUAACGUAUCAUUUCGCAGUGCUAGACACCGAAGUGAUGCGUUUUUUU